UACGUAGGGUGCGAGCGUUAAUCGGAAUUACUGGGCGUAAAGUGUGCGCAGGCGGCCGCGCAAGUCGAGUGUGAAAUCCCCGAGCUUAACUUGGGAAUUGCGCUCGAAACUACGUGGCUGGAGUGUGGCAGAGGAAGGUGGAAUUCCACGUGUAGCGGUGAAAUGCGUAGAUAUCUGAAAGAACACCAGUGGCGAAGGCGGUCAACUGGUCCAUUACUGACACUAAAGCACGAAAGCGUGGGUAGCGAACAGG
rnacentral:rRNA from 1 species